AUGAAACCAAGGCAAACCAUCUUGCAUCCUAUUCAUCUCAUAUCUCUUCUGAACUAUUUACCCACAGGCUACAUCCCAAUCCAACAGAAAUUUGCUUAACAGUGGGAGAUGAUGCAUUUUGAACAGGGUUUGUUGAUGGCUGAAGACUAUAACCCAGCCUCAGCACAGAUGGUGCACUUGAAAAUAAUACCAUAAAGGCUCAUUAUUUUAAACAAUUAUUGAUUACACCCUGGGGAUUUUCCAAUUCCACUUGAUGCUGCUUUUAAAAUGCAGUUCUUUGGCCUGUUAAUGAUUAAAGAUUUGGAUUUCACUCUUUACACUAAAUGUAAGUGUUUAACAGGAAAAGAAAACCUAAGAAAGCACUCCCUCCUUAGAAUCCAAAAUGGAAGAUAAAAUAUAAAGGCUGAAAUUAAUUUACUGGAAAUUUUGCAUAGCACA
rnacentral:lncRNA from 1 species